rnacentral:rRNA from 1 species
UAGAGUAAGAGUUUGGACCUGGCUCAGAUUGAACGCUAGCGGGAUGCCUUACACAUGCAAGUCGAACGGCAGCACGGACUUCGGUCUGGUGGCGAGUGGCGAACGGGUGAGUAAUGUAUCGGAACGUGCCCAGUAGCGGGGGAUAACUACGCGAAAGCGUAGCUAAUACCGCAUACGCCCUACGGGGGAAAGCAGGGGAUCGCAAGACCUUGCACUAUUGGAGCGGCCGAUAUCGGAUUAGCUAGUUGGUGGGGUAACGGCUCACCAAGGCGACGAUCCGUAGCUGGUUUGAGAGGACGACCAGCCACACUGGGACUGAGACACGGCCCAGACUCCUACGGGAGGCAGCAGUGGGGAAUUUUGGACAAUGGGGGAAACCCUGAUCCAGCCAUCCCGCGUGUGCGAUGAAGGCCUUCGGGUUGUAAAGCACUUUUGGCAGGAAAGAAACGUCAUGGGUUAAUACCCCGUGAAACUGACGGUACCUGCAGAAUAAGCACCG